UCGGGUAUGGUGUAACGGUAACAUUUCUGACUCUCAAAUCUUCAUGGUUGAGCACUCAGGGGCCCGGGGUUCGAUUCCCCGUAUCCGAG
rnacentral:tRNA from 1 species